rnacentral:RNase_P_RNA from 1 species
GGCAGAGGAAGCCCGGUUCCCGUGGGUGCGCCCUCGACGGCUCCGCCGUCUCGGCGCGGAACGCCGAGACGCGCCCAUGAGGAAAGUCCCCCCACCCUCCGGGCAGGUGACCGGGCGCAAGCCCGGAGCGGGAGACCGCUGGCGCUGGAACAGAAACGAGACCCCCCGCCCCGACCGAUGAGGCGCGCGGGCCGCCAUCGGCGGCCCGUGGCGCCCGCGGGCUCCGGGUCCGCGGGCGCGCGAACCGACCCGCGAGGGAAGAAAGUUAACCCGCCGAGGGUUGGGCGGCUCUGCCGCCGACAGGCGGGAACGGGUGGAACGGCGAAUCCUCACCGGUGCAAGCCCGCCGCCACAGGUAGCCCGGAGACGCGUCGGGCGCUCAGCCGAAUGCCGGGUCGAAACAGAAGGGGGCUUACUAUCCUCAGCC